UGGGGAAUAUUGCACAAUGGGCGCAAGCCUGAUGCAGCCAUGCCGCGUGUAUGAAGAAGGCCUUCGGGUUGUAAAGUACUUUCAGUCGGGAGGAAGGUGGUAAGGUUAAUAACCUUGGCAAUUGACGUUACCGACAGAAGAAGCACCGGCUAACUCCGUGCCAGCAGCCGCGGUAAUACGGAGGGUGCAAGCGUUAAUCGGAAUUACUGGGCGUAAAGCGCACGCAGGCGGUUGAUUGAGUCAGAUGUGAAAUCCCCGGGCUUAACCCGGGAAUUGCAUCUGAUACUGGUCAGCUAGAGUCUUGUAGAGGGGGGUAGAAUUCCAUGUGUAGCGAUGAAAUGCGUAGAGAUGUGGAGGAAUACCGGUGGCGAAGGCGGCCCCCUGGACAAAGACUGACGCGCAGGUGCGAAAGCGUGGGGAGCAAACAGG
rnacentral:rRNA from 1 species